AAAAUUAUUCUUGAAUUAUUUAUCUUUGUAGGAAUCUACUUUGUAUGACAAGAUGCAGUUGGACAACAUAUUCACAUCAUAUGAUGAAAUGAUCAAGAACAUGGCCUGUGUAAGAAUUCAUUAUGGCUCAACAGAAAAAAGAACUUUGACGCAUCGUCCAAAAUAUCCGUUAAUUGAAAUGUUCAGUCUUCUCGGCGGAUACAGUGGACUUUGGCUUGGAUUUUCUCUGUUAAAUGGAUAUGAAUUCUUACUCAGCAGAAUAUCUCAUCACUUAAAAAGGAGAAACAUUCUCUCCUCAAAUAACUGUUAUAGAACAAAAAUUAACUCAUUUA